UAGGGAAUCUUCCACAAUGGACGCAAGUCUGAUGGAGCAACGCCGCGUGAGUGAAGAAGGGUUUCGGCUCGUAAAGCUCUGUUGUUGGUGAAGAAGGACAGGGGUAGUAACUGACCUUUAUUUGACGGUAAUCAACCAGAAAGUCACGGCUAACUACGUGCCAGCAGCCGCGGUAAUACGUAGGUGGCAAGCGUUGUCCGGAUUUAUUGGGCGUAAAGCGAGCGCAGGCGGAAGAAUAAGUCUGAUGUGAAAGCCCUCGGCUUAACCGAGGAACUGCAUCGGAAACUGUUUUUCUUGAGUGCAGAAGAGGAGAGUGGAACUCCAUGUGUAGCGGUGGAAUGCGUAGAUAUAUGGAAGAACACCGGUGGCGAAGGCGGCUCUCUGGUCUGUUACUGACGCUGAGGCUCGAAAGCAUGGGUAGCGAACAGG
rnacentral:rRNA from 1 species